rnacentral:rRNA from 1 species
UAGGGAAUAUUGGACAAUGGGCGAAAGCCUGAUCCAGCCAUGCCGCGUGAUAGAUGAAGGCCCUCUGGGUUGUAAAUAUCUUUUAUCUGGGAAGAACAACUUCUAUUCUUAGAAGCCUGACGGUACCAGAGGAAUAAGCACCGGCUAACUCCGUGCCAGCAGCCGCGGUAAUACGGAGGGUGCAAGCGUUAUCCGGAUUCACUGGGUUUAAAGGGUGCGUAGGCGGGUAUAUAAGUCAGUGGUGAAAGCUCCGAGCUUAACUUGGAAACUGCCAUUGAUACUGUAUAUCUUGAAUGUCGUUGAGGUAAGCGGAAUGUUGCAUGUAGCGGUGAAAUGCUUAGAUAUGUUACAGAACACCAAUUGUGAAGACAGCUUACUAAGCGAUAAUUGACGCUGAGGCACGAAAGCGUGGGGAGCAAACAG